rnacentral:rRNA from 1 species
GUCUACGGCCAUGCCACCCUGAACAAGCCCCAUGUCUGAUCUCGAAAGCUAAGCAGGGUCGGGCCUGGUUAGUACUUGGAUGGGAGGCCACCUAGGAAGACCAGGUGCUGUAGACA